rnacentral:rRNA from 1 species
AUGUCUACUCGGAGUUUGGUGUCUUGAACACUGGGCUCUCAAGCUAACGCAUUAAGUAGACCGCCUGGGGAGUACGGCCGCAAGGUUAAAACUCAAAUGAAUUGACGGGGGCCCGCACAAGCGGUGGAGCAUGUGGUUUAAUUCGAUGCAACGCGAAGAACCUUACCUACUCUUGACAUCCACGGAAUUCGCUAGAGAUAGCUUAGUGCCUUCGGGAACCGUGAGACAGGUGCUGCAUGGCUGUCGUCAG